GGGUUGUGAGGUUAAGCGACUAAGCGUACACGGUGGAUGCCCUGGCAGUCAGAGGCGAUGAAGGACGUGCUAAUCUGCGAAAAGCGUCGGUAAGGUGAUAUGAACCGUUACAGCCGGCGAUGUCCGAAUGGGGAAACCCAGUGCAAUUCGUUGCACUAUCGUUAACUGAAUACAUAGGUUAACGAGGCGAACCGGGGGAACUGAAACAUCUAAGUACCCCGAGGAAAAGAAAUCAACCGAGAUUCCCCCAGUAGCGGCGAGCGAACGGGGAGCAGCCCGGAGUCUGAAUCAGCUUGUGUGUUAGUGGAAGCGUCUGGAAAGUCGCAGGGUACAGGGUGAUACUCCCGUACACUAAAACACACAGGUUGUGAACUCGAAGAGUAGGGCGGGACACGUGGUAUCCUGUCUGAAUAUGGGGGACCAUCCUCCAAGGCUAAAUACUCCUGACUGACCGAUAGUGAACCAGUACCGUGAGGGAAAGGCGAAAAGAACCCCGGCGAGGGGAGUGAAAAAGAACCUGAAACCGUGUACGUACAAGCAGUAGGAGCCCACUAGUUGGGUGACUGCGUACCUUUUGUAUAAUGGGUCAGCGACUUAUAUUCUGUAGCAAGGUUAACCGUAUAGGGGAGCCGCAGGGAAACCGAGUCUUAACUGGGCGUUAAGUUGCAGGGUAUAGACCCGAAACCCGGUGAUCUAGCCAUGGGCAGGUUGAAGGUUGGGUAACACUAACUGGAGGACCGAACCGACUAAUGUUGAAAAAUUAGCGGAUGACUUGUGGCUGGGGGUGAAAGGCCAAUCAAACCGGGAGAUAGCUGGUUCUCCCCGAAAGCUAUUUAGGUAGCGCCUCGUGAAUUCAUCUUCGGGGGUAGAGCACUGUUUCGGCUAGGGGGUCAUCCCGACUUACCAACCCGAUGCAAACUACGAAUACCGAAGAAUGUUAUCACGGGAGACACACGGCGGGUGCUAACGUCCGUCGUGAAGAGGGAAACAACCCAGACCGCCAGCUAAGGUCCCAAAGUCAUGGUUAAGUGGGAAACGAUGUGGGAAGGCCCAGACAGCCAGGAUGUUGGCUUAGAAGCAGCCAUCAUUUAAAGAAAGCGUAAUAGCUCACUGGUCGAGUCGGCCUGCGCGGAAGAUGUAACGGGGCUAAACCAUGCACCGAAGCUGCGGCAGCGACACUAUGUGUUGUUGGGUAGGGGAGCGUUCUGUAAGCCGUUGAAGGUGGCCUGUGAGGGUUGCUGGAGGUAUCAGAAGUGCGAAUGCUGACAUAAGUAACGAUAAUGCGGGUGAAAAACCCGCACGCCGGAAGACCAAGGGUUCCUGUCCAACGUUAAUCGGGGCAGGGUGAGUCGACCCCUAAGGCGAGGCCGAAAGGCGUAGUCGAUGGGAAACAGGUUAAUAUUCCUGUACUCGGUGUUACUGCGAAGGGGGGACGGAGAAGGCUAUGUUGGCCGGGCGACGGUUGUCCCGGUUUAAGCAUGUAGGCGGAUGUUCCAGGUAAAUCCGGAACGUCACUAACGCUGAGGUGUGAUGACGAGGCACUACGGUGCUGAAGUGACAAAUGCCCUGCUUCCAGGAAAAGCCUCUAAGCAUCAGGUAACAUCAAAUCGUACCCCAAACCGACACAGGUGGUCAGGUAGAGAAUACCAAGGCGCUUGAGAGAACUCGGGUGAAGGAACUAGGCAAAAUGGUGCCGUAACUUCGGGAGAAGGCACGCUGAUGGUAGGUGAAGUGACUUGCUCAUGGAGCUGAAAUCAGUCGAAGAUACCAGCUGGCUGCAACUGUUUAUUAAAAACACAGCACUGUGCAAACACGAAAGUGGACGUAUACGGUGUGACGCCUGCCCGGUGCCGGAAGGUUAAUUGAUGGGGUUAUCCGUAAGGAGAAGCUCUUGAUCGAAGCCCCGGUAAACGGCGGCCGUAACUAUAACGGUCCUAAGGUAGCGAAAUUCCUUGUCGGGUAAGUUCCGACCUGCACGAAUGGCGUAAUGAUGGCCAGGCUGUCUCCACCCGAGACUCAGUGAAAUUGAACUCGCUGUGAAGAUGCAGUGUACCCGCGGCAAGACGGAAAGACCCCGUGAACCUUUACUAUAGCUUGACACUGAACACUGGUCCUUGAUGUGUAGGAUAGGUGGGAGGCUUUGAAGUGUGGACGCCAGUCUGCAUGGAGCCAUCCUUGAAAUACCACCCUUUAAUGGCUGGUGUUCUAACGUGGGCCCCUAAUCGGGGUUGCGGACAGUGUCUGGUGGGUAGUUUGACUGGGGCGGUCUCCUCCUAAAGAGUAACGGAGGAGCACGAAGGUCAGCUAAUCCUGGUCGGACAUCAGGAGGUUAGUGCAAUGGCAUAAGCUGGCUUGACUGCGAGCGUGACGGCGCGAGCAGGUGCGAAAGCAGGUCAUAGUGAUCCGGUGGUUCUGAAUGGAAGGGCCAUCGCUCAACGGAUAAAAGGUACUCCGGGGAUAACAGGCUGAUACCGCCCAAGAGUUCAUAUCGACGGCGGUGUUUGGCACCUCGAUGUCGGCUCAUCACAUCCUGGGGCUGAAGUAGGUCCCAAGGGUAUGGCUGUUCGCCAUUUAAAGUGGUACGCGAGCUGGGUUUAGAACGUCGUGAGACAGUUCGGUCCCUAUCUGCCGUGGGCGCUGGAGAAUUGAGGGGGGCUGCUCCUAGUACGAGAGGACCGGAGUGGACGCAUCACUGGUGUUCGGGUUGUCAUGCCAAUGGCAUUGCCCGGUAGCUAAAUGCGGAAGAGAUAAGUGCUGAAAGCAUCUAAGCACGAAACUUGCCCCGAGAUGAGUUCUCCCUGACUCCUUGAGAGUCCUGAAGGAACGUUGAAGACGACGACGUUGAUAGGCCGGGUGUGUAAGCGCAGCGAUGCGUUGAGCUAACCGGUACUAAUGAACCGUGAGGCUUAACCUUACAACGCCGAAG
rnacentral:rRNA from 1 species